CAGGAGGAAGGGGGCUGACAAACAAAAAAGCAAGAGGGAGGAAGAACUCAUUCAUCAAAACACAUACGGUGCAAGAACUGAAGAAAUAAAAAACAAGGAAAAGAAACCAAUGCUGAAGUGAAGCAAAGGCAAUCACUCCCCACCUCCCACCAGCACACCCAGGCUCUGAGGAAUGGCUCGUUCUGAAACCUGAAGCCAUCACCUUCUUGCUGAGCGUUUUGUUGUACGGCUUCAUUUGUUUCUGACUCUCUCCCCCAUCCCAGAGACGGAGGGGAGGGCGAGUGAACGGCUGUGUGGUGCUUAGCUGCCGGCCGCGUUAAACCACAACGCCACGCUAUCAUGAUUUCAUCCCAAGAGCCUGCUAAGCCCUACUCACACUCUCGUUCGCUCCCCUUCAGGAGGAAGGGGGCUGACAAACAAAAAAGCAAGAGGGAGGAAGAACUCAUUCAUCAAAACACAUACGGUGCAAGAACUGAAGAAAUAAAAAACAAGGAAAAGAAACCAAUGCUGAAGUGAAGCAAAGGCAAUCACUCCCCACCUCCCACCAGCACACCCAGGCUCUGAGGAAUGGCUCGUUCUGAAACCUGAAGCCAUCACCUUCUUGCUGAGCGUUUUGUUGUACGGCUUCAUUUGUUUCUGACUCUCUCCCCCAUCCCAGAGACGGAGGGGAGGGCGAGUGAACGGCUGUGUGGUGCUUAGCUGCCGGCCGCGUUAAACCACAACGCCACGCUAUCAUGAUUUCAUCCCAAGAGCCUGCUAAGCCCUACUCACACUCUCGUUCGCUCCCCUUCAGGAGGAAGGGGGCUGACAAACAAAAAAGCAAGAGGGAGGAAGAACUCAUUCAUCAAAACACAUACGGUGCAAGAACUGAAGAAAUAAAAAACAAGGAAAAGAAACCAAUGCUGAAGUGAAGCAAAGGCAAUCACUCCCCACCUCCCACCAGCACACC